GGAUGCUCUCGUUGAACCCCCUGAUGGACGGGUUGAUGGGCUCCAUCCCGCCGUCCACCGUCUGCUGCUUGUGGAACGGCAGCACGAUGAGCGACACGUGCUUGUCCUCCGCCAGCACACACACGUCCUCGUGCAUCGUCUGGCAAUGGAAUAAUGGAUGAUGUCUACUGACCGACGCUUUCCUCGUAGCUCUCGAAGGCGUUGAAGAUGUGGUCGCUGGAGCUGCCGGCGGUGUGGCUGGCGGCGAGCAUGUUGGAGGCGCGCCCGGUGAGCUCGACGAGGUGGAGGGCGUAGAUGAAGAUGGGGGAGCGCUUGGUGGGAUUGGACAGCUCCAGUAGGGAGAUAAUGGACGGCACAUUGCGGUUGAUGUGCACGCACGCCAGCAUGCGCAGCUCCGAGUCAUGCUUGGACCGCUGCAGGUUGCGCCGCUUGUACCCGACUAACCGCCGCGCCGGACGGUACACAGUCGUCACCACCGGCGUCACCAGCGCCGUCAUCGCCACCGAGACCAGCACCAUCACCGCGAACGACUCAUCAUCCAACACCUGCUAUCAGUAGUUCAAGCAGAUCGAGCACCAGUUAAUUUCAAUGUCAUCAAUUGGGCAUCGAUGUCGAUCGGCAUGAUCUAUCAGAUAUACGGGAGUAAUGAA